rfam:Desulfurococcus kamchatkensis 1221n, complete genome.
GCCGCCGUAGCUCAGCCCGGUGGAGCGCCGGCCUCGUAUCGGCUUAUUUAACCGGAGUCGUUGGAAAGCCGGUGGACGCGGGUUCAAAUCCCGCCGGCGGCU